rnacentral:misc_RNA from 1 species
UCUCCCGAAAGGGAGCAGUCUCGCCUGACAAAUAUAACAGGCAACGGGGGUUGCGUUCGUUACCCCACUUAAGGGAACAAUUCAAACCACGAACUGACGACGACCAUGCAUCACCUGUCCAGACGUCCUUGCGGACAUCCCACGUUUCUGCGGGACUUCGUCUGGAUUUCCAGCCCUGGUAAGGUUUUUCGCUUACCGACGAAUUGAGCCACAUGAUCCACCGCUUGUGCGAGCCCCCGUCUAUUCCUUUGAGUUUUAGCCUUGCGGCCGUACUACCCAGGCGGUUCCCUUAACGCGUUAGCUUCGCCUCCCAGAGGGUCGAUACUCCGAAAAGCCAGGGAACAUCGUUUAGGGCGUGGACUAC